rnacentral:rRNA from 1 species
UACGGAGGGAGCUAGCGUUGUUCGGAAUUACUGGGCGUAAAGCGCGCGUAGGCGGCUUUGUAAGUUAGAGGUGAAAGCCCGGGGCUCAACCCCGGAACUGCCUUUAAGACUGCAUCGCUUGAAUCCGGGAGAGGUGAGUGGAAUUCCUAGUGUAGAGGUGAAAUUCGUAGAUAUUCGGAAGAACACCAGUGGCGAAGGCGGCUCACUGGACCGGCAUUGACGCUGAUGUGCGAAAGCGUGGGGAGCAAACAGG